UACAGAGGGGGCAAGCGUUAUUCGGAAUUAUUGGGCGUAAAGGGCGCGUAGGCGGCCUGGCAAGUGGAAGGUGAAAUCCCUCGGCUUAACCGAGGAACUGCCCUCCAAACUGCUUGGCUUGAGUCGGGGAGAGGUGAGUGGAAUUCCCAGUGUAGCGGUGAAAUGCGUAGAUAUCAGGAAGAACACCCGUGGCGAAAGCGGCUCUCUGGAACGGUACUGACGCUGAGACGCGAAAGCGUGGGGAGCGAACAGG
rnacentral:rRNA from 1 species